ACACACAACGUUUGUAAAACGAUUAAAUUUGUUUUGACUGUUUAUGUUUAUUUGUGGGGUCCAAGAAGCAAGCAAAAGGAAGUUUUCGUUGCCAUGGAAGUAGUUAAGUCAAGAAAACGAAAGGAGAAUGGGGUUCACGAUGAAACAACGAAAAAGUCUCGAAAGUUUAGCGAGCCGGAGGAAAAGGAAAGUAAAGAUGAUAAACAAAAGAAUUUAUCGGCUCAAGAGAUCAAAAAAAUGAUGGAAAUGGCUCGUCAACAAAUCCAACAACGAAAAGAACAAAUUAAACAACUCAACCCUGUUGCUCUUUCAGCCAAGGUUCAACUUGCACAAGCGAAGACGAUGAGCAGUGAAAGCCAGCAGGAGCUUGCUUUGAUCACAAGCGCUGCAGAGAAAGCACAAAAAGCUGCCGAGCUACAAGCGAGAAUUCAGGCUCGGCUCGCAGCCAAGCCAAACCUAAUACCUGGGAUGGCAGCUGGGUUACAAGCAAAGUUAUUCACAGCACCUAACAUUGCAGAACAAGAACAAACCGCUCCUAAACCCCUAAUAUUGGAUGAGAUGGGAAGAACCAUUGAUGCUACAGGUCAACUAUUAAAUAUCCCAAGCAGAGUACCAACUUUAAAGGCAAACAUUCGUGCAAAGAAGAGAGAAGAGUUUCGACAAAAGUUGCACGAGAAGCCCCCUAGUGAUGAAACAAGCGGUGGAAUCAACUUCUUCGACAACCGAGUAAAACAGGAAACCGCUUCAAGACCGAGGAGGAAUUUCAAGUUUCAUGAAAAAGGAAGAUUUGUUAAAAUUGCGCAGAAAAUUCGAACAAAGGCACAGCUUGAGAAACUUCAGGGUGAAAUAUCUCACGCAGCCAAACGCACAGGGAUCCAACAAGCUUCAAAACUUGCGUUAAUCGCACCAAAAGUUGGUCCUGAAUGUGAUGUAGAUGCUAUACCUAAUGUAGAAUGGUGGGACGCCUAUAUUGACAACAGGGACAACCAUCAAGUGGAAUCAGUGGAGAUCGCUUACGAUGCGAUAACGAACCUCAUUGAACAUCCAGCCCAACUUAAUGCUCCAGGUAGCGGUAGACGAGCCCCUGUAUUGACGACUUACCUCACGAAGAAGGAACGAAAGAAGAUGCGACGAAUGAAUCGGCGGGAGGCAUUGAAGGAUGAGCAAGAGAAAGUGAGGUUGGGACUCGCACCAGCACCUGAACCUAAAGUGAAACUCUCGAACCUGAUGCGGGUGUUGGGCACGGAUGCUGUACAAGACCCUACUAAGGUUGAGAAGCAUGUUCGUAUGCAGAUGGCUAAACGACAACGAGCUCAUGAACAAGCGAAUGCUGCGAGGAAGCUUACUGAUGUACAGAAGAGAGAGAAGAAAAUUAAGAAGUUAAAAGAAGACACCUCAGAUGUUGUGCACGUUACUAUGUACAGAAUACGUAAUUUACGCGACCCCUCGAAAAAGUUCAAAGUGGAAAUGAACAGCAAGCAGUUAUAUUGAACGGGAUGUACCAUCUUACACCCUGAUAUCAACAUAGUGGUCGUGGAGGGAGGACCAAAGUCUCAGCGUAAGUUCCGUCGAUUGAUGAUGUCACGAAUAAAAUGGGAGGAAGAUAAGAAAGGGAAGCGACAUGCAGAAGCGGACGGGAGUGAAGAAGCCGCGAAUAUUAAGUGGUGCGAGUUGGUGUGGGAGGGAGAGACAAAGAAGAAGAACUUCGGUGAAAUGACUUUCAAACAAUGCACAACUGACUCACAAGCGAGGGAGUUUUUCAAGAAACACGGAGUUGAACAUUAUUGGGAUCUUUCCCACUCGGAAACGAUUCUACAAGAGUGAAUUGGAAUUCGUUUGUAACAUUAAUAUGUGGUUGAUACUGACUUUGCUGCCAACGCAUAAUAAUGCUGAAUAAACUUAUUGUAUAUUAAA